rnacentral:tRNA from 1 species
GGACGUAUGUCAGCUUGCUUUCAUAGCUCAGUUGGUUAGAGCACCCGUUUAGUAAGCGGGAGGUCUUGAGUUCGACUCUCAAUGAAAGCAG